rnacentral:rRNA from 1 species
CAGGAUCAAAGGUGGCCUCUACAUGUAAGCUAUUGUUUGGGGAUGAGCCCGCGUACCAUUAGCUUGUUGGUAGGGUAAUGGCCUACCAAGGCUACGAUGGUUAGCUGGUCUGAGAGGAUGAUCAGCCACACUGGAACUGACACACGGUCCAGACUCCUACGGGAGGCAGCAGUGAGGAAUUUUGCGCAAUGGGGGAAACCCUGACGCAGCAACGCCGCGUGAGUGAUGAAGGCUUUCGGGUCGUAAAGCUCUGUCAAGUGGGAAGAACUCAUAUGGUGUUAAUAUCUCCAUAUGUUGACGGUACCACUGAAGGAAGCACCGGCUAACUCCGUGCCAGCAGCCGCGGUAAUACGGGGGGUGCGAGCGUUAUUCGGAAUUACUGGGCGUAAAGAGCGCGUAGGCGGUCUUUUAAGUCAGGUGUGAAAGCCCGGGGCUCAACCCCGGAAGUGCACUUGAAACUAAGAGACUUGAGUAUGGGAGAGGGAAGUGGAAUUCCUGGUGUAGCGGUGAAAUGCGUAAUAUCAGGAGGAACAUCAGUGGCGAAGGCGACUUCCUGGACCAAUACUGACCUGAGGCGCGAAGGCGUGGGCAGCAAACAGGAUUAGAUACCCUGGUAGUCCACGCAGUAAACGGUGAACACUAGGUGUAGCGGGUAUUGACCCCUGCUGUGCCGCAGCAAACGCAUUAAGUGUUCCGCCUGGGGAGUACGGCCGCAAGGUUAAAACUCAAAGGAAUUGACGGGGCCCGCACAAGCGGUGGAGCAUGUGGUUUAAUUCGACGCAACGCGAAGAACCUUACCUAGGUUUGACAUCCCGGGAAUCCUGUGGAAACACGGGAGUGCCCUUCGGGGAACUCGGUGACAGGUGCUGCAUGGCUGUCGUCAGCUCGUGUCGUGAGAUGUUGGGUUAAGUCCCGCAACGAGCGCAACCCCUUUCUUUAGUUACCAUCAUUUAGUUGGGGACUCUAAAGACACUGCCCCGGUUAACGGGGAGGAAGGUGGGGAUGACGUCAAGUCCUCAUGGCCUUUAUGCCUAGGGCUACACACGUGCUACAAUGGACUGUACAAAGGGUUGCCAGCCUGUGAAGGUGAGCCAAUCCCAUAAAGCAGUUCGUAGUUCGGAUUGGAGUCUGCAACUCGACUCCAUGAAGCUGGAAUCGCUAGUAAUCGUGGAUCAGCACGCCACGGUGAAUACGUUCCCGGGCCUUGUACACACCGCCCGUCACACCAUGAGAGUUGGUUGUACCAGAAGUCGUUGGGCAAACCUUUACAGGAUGCAGGCGCCUAAGGUAUGGCUGAUGAUUGGGGUGAAGUCGUAACAAGGUA